ensembl:lncRNA LINC02334 long intergenic non-protein coding RNA 2334
GGAGACCAGGACACUGGAGGCAGCAGCUUGCAGCACAAGGAGAAUGGAGAAGGUCCUGAGAUGCCCACACUCAGGCCCUGACACUGAAGCAGGAUGUUUCUCUGACUCAUUCACGGGAUUCGUGACAGGUGUGCCUCCUUUACCAAGCCCAUUGCUCUCAACUCCUCACAGGAGGGAGCACACAAGCAAACAAGACGGGAACUGGAGUACAGGGGCGCUGGAACCAGCCAGCGAACUCCCUGCAGGCCCCGCGGCACUUUCGGGGGCGGGGGAUGGUGCCUGCGAUCCCCAAAACCCCAAAGGGCGUUUUUUACAGUGCUCUUUUAGCUCUGCUGACCGCGGAUGGCUUAAGUGUUAACAGCUCAGUGGGCCCUUUGCCUUUUCUCAUGAGUCGGCUGCCCUGUGCCAGCAAGGGCAAAGGGCCAGUGUAACAGCCUUUUGUAUCUGCACUCGUGGCUCCUGAGCUCCUGUUCGGCACACAGGAAAAAUGAGGUCGCACCAACAAACUGAAGGAUGGUAAAUGUUGAGGAUUUUAUUGCCAAUGAAAGCGGCUGUCACUGGGAGCUGAAAAGGUAAUGGAAAGCUGAAAAGCGGAUAAGGUGGGUAGGUACCUGAAGUCUGGCCAUCUACGGCAGCUGGAUUCUUCUCCAAAGUUAUACUGUCAAGCUGUCCCUCUGAAGCCAAGCCACUUCUCUUUGACAUCCAGCCGUAGUCUCUGCUCCUCUCCAACUGAGUAUGAGGGAGAUGUUUCCUAUUAUCCUUGAUAAUGUGCCAUGAACAUAUGAAAAAACAUAGAAACAUGAAGAAAACAAGAAGACAAAAAUCACUAACAUCUGGUUGGCUGUAUAGAAACAAAGCUGAUUCUGGUCUCGCUCUAUACCCCAGGUUGGAGUGCAGUGGUAAGAUCACAGCUCACUGCUGCCUUGACUUCCUGGGCUCAAGUGAUUCUCCUGCCUCAGUCUCCUCAGUAGCUCGGACUACAGCUUGCAAAUGGAUCUUACAGACGUUGUCACAGAGACAAGAAAAGUAA